CUCCUGAGGUACACGUUAGCCACUCAUUUCCAGGUGAAACAGAAGAGGGGGGAGAGGGAAAGAGCAGAGCCCAGCGCAGAACAGCACUGCUCAGGAAUAAGGCAAGAGGAUAGUAUGGAGGAGAAAAACAAAGCCUGGUUGAAGACAGAGAGCGAAUGAAGAGUAACAUUCAACCCAGACCCAGGCUUUAAUCUCCACCAAAGGCCUGGGCUAAAGGCCACCACCCUGUCUGCGUCUGGCAAAUGGCUGCAUAAUACUGAAACAGCUGAUCCACGGGAAUGUCAAUAAUGCCAAGCUGACGGGGCUGUAACCAUGCGCCGUGUCAUGAGCCAGCUCUGCACUCUGCUCUCCAACCGGAGGCAGGGAGGGGGCAGGAACUAGGUGAAAAUCACACCCAGGGUCAUUCCAAGUCAAGCCAAGGCACUCUACAAAUUAAGCAUUUUUGGAAGCGCUGAUGAGACGUAAUGGAAAUACUUUUCUUUCAUAAAGAAUUCAUUACCCCUUCUUAUCCCUGG